rnacentral:tRNA from 1 species
GCCUCGGUAGUCUAAAGGACGCUAGUACGGAAUGCAAGAGAUCCGGGUUCGACUCCCGGCCGAGGUA